rnacentral:rRNA from 1 species
UACCCGCAGCACAAGUGGUGGUCAUUAUUAUUGGGCCUAAAGCGUCCGUAGCUGGCCUGUUAGAUGCCUGGGUAAAUCGAUGCGCUCAACGUAUCGAACUCCGGGUAGACCGGCAGGCUUGGGACCGGGAGAGGCGUGAGCUACUCGGGGGGCAGGGGUAAAAUCCUGUAAUCCUCCGGGGAGGACCAGUGGCGAAGGCGUCACGCUAGAACGGCUCCGACAGUGAGGGACGAAGCCCUGGGGCGCAAAUCGG